CGCACGGGUGAGUAACACGUAUCCAACCUGCCGUCUACUCUUGGCCAGCCUUCUGAAAGGAAGAUUAAUCCAGGAUGGGAUCAUGAGUUCACAUGUCCGCAUGAUUAAAGGUAUUUUCCGGUAGACGAUGGGGAUGCGUUCCAUUAGAUAGUAGGCGGGGUAACGGCCCACCUAGUCAACGAUGGAUAGGGGUUCCGAGAGGAAGGUCCCCCACAUUGGAACUGAGACACGGUCCAA
rnacentral:rRNA from 1 species